UGUUCAGAGCCUCAAAAUGUAGUGUGCUUCUUUCAGUGCCCCACAUUCGGGUGCCAAAAUGAAAUGUCCAGGCUACUUUCUGGAGGUCCUCUGGAUGGGUCUUGAAAUCAGCAGGAUAGUCACCAUGACGAUGGUUAGGAACAGAAUCUAAAGUCCUUAUUGUCUUCUUCACAGUCUAUUCACUCUGACUCACUCUGUCCUCAGUUCUGUCAGCCCUUAAAUACCCUAUCACAAUUACAUCAUUACAGCAUAUUGAGUAUGUGUGAACUAGAGUGAUCAUAUUAUAUUAGAUAUAUGUGAACUAGAAAACCACUAUCUCAUCAAUUCCACUGCGUUGACACCUUGUUGGUAUGGCGGAUUAUUUACAAAUUUCCGAUGUGAUCUGCUUGGGGGUGUUUGUAUAGAAGGAUUUUGUAGAUAUCCUGUUUUGAAACUUGGUACCUGUAAGACAAAAGAAAAGAAGAUGUGUUGUAUAAAAGAAUAUACAAGUGACUGAUACAGAGUGGGGAAACAAUGUCUGAGAAGGGGGAGAUUGAAGGGAC
rnacentral:lncRNA from 1 species